ensembl:lncRNA
GUUUGGGAAUGUUAGGGGAGGGACUGUUCUAGUUUGGGAAUGUUAAGGAAUGGGACUGUUCUAGUUUGGGAAUGUUAGGGAAUGGGACUGUUCUAGUUUGGGAAUGUUAAGGAAUGGGACUGUUCUAGUUUGGGAAUGUUAAGGAAUGGGACUGUUCUAGUUUGGGAAUGUUAGGGGGAGGGACUGUUCUAGUUUGGGAAUGUUAGGGGGAGGGACUGUUCUAGUUUGGGAAUAUUAGGGAAUGGGACUGUUCUAGUUUGGGAAUGUUAGGGAAUGGGACUGUUCUAGUUUGGGAAUGUUAGGGAAUGGGACUGUUCUAGUUUGGGAAUGCAGGAUCAUUCAGGAAGAAAGGUUAUGAUGAGGAUGGCGGGAAAGGAUCCAAUGGGAACUACUUGGACAGGAAGUGAGUAGAGGAAAUCCCAGUUGUAAUCAAACAUGCUGCAUGAUGAUUGGAUAAGGACAACAAGAGACCUUGGAUCCCACUGCUGUUUCUGCAACACGUGCUUGGGAAUGUGAAACAACAUUAUCCAGUAAUUCUUUGGUCACUGUGUGUGUGUGUGUGUGUGUGUGUGUGUGUGUGUGUGUGUGUGUGUGUGUGUGUGUGUGUGUGUGUGUGUGUGUGUGUGUGUGUGUGUGUGUGUGUGUGUGUGUGUGUGGUGUCUUGUGACUUGGUGUAGUAGGGACACUUUCACACUCAUCAGGGACGCUGUGAUUCCAGGAACUUCAGUUGAUGUCCCCUCUCUGUCCCCUCUUUCACACAGCUAUAGUUAUAAUGCUUCCUGCUGCUAUAACACUGACAGCAGCUCAUGAGGGGUGGAUUCAAUUUGAGCUGUCAACCAUCAAUAUAUUUUCUUUGUUUUUUCAAAAAAACAAACAUAAACUGUACCUCAAAUAGGAAGCAGCUUAUGUUUUUAGCUCCAUAGACCUGUUCUAUGUGUUCUGUUCUAGGUGUUCUGUUCUAGGUGUUCUGUUCUAGGUGUUCUGUUCUAGGUGUUCCGUUCUAGGUGUUCUGGAGUGUCUCACCCCUUGGAGGUGUAUGUUGAUCCUGAUUCCCC